rnacentral:rRNA from 1 species
AUACGGAAGGUCCGGGCGUUAUCCGGAUUUAUUGGGUUUAAAGGGAGCGCAGGCGGAGAUGCAAGCGUGACGUCAAAUUUCGGGGCUCAACCCCGUCUCGCGUCGCGAACUGCGUCCCUUGGUUGCGGGAAGGGGAGGCGGAACUCGUGGUGUAGCGGUGAAAUGCAUAGAUAUCACGAAGAACUCCGAUCGCGAAGGCAGCCUUCCGGCCCGUCAACGACGCUCAUGCUCGAAGGUGCGGGUAUCAAACAGGAUUAGAUACCCUGGUAGUCCGCACAGUAAACGAUGGACACCCGCGGUUUGGCCUGUAUGGCUGAGCCGCCAAGCGAAAGCGUUAAGUGUCCCACCUGGGGAGUACGACCGCAAGGUUGAAACUCAAAGGAAUUGACGGGG